rnacentral:rRNA from 1 species
UACGGGGGGGGCAAGCGUUGUUCGGAAUUACUGGGCGUAAAGGGCUCGUAGGCGGCCAACUAAGUCAGACGUGAAAUCCCCAGGCUCAACCUGGGAACUGCGUCUGAUACUGGAUGGCUUGAAUCCGGGAGAGGGAUGCAGAAUUCCAGGUGUAGCGGUGAAAUGCGUAGAGAUGUGGAGGAACACCGAUGGCGAAGGCAGCCCCCUGGGCCAAUACUGACGCUCAUGCACGAAAGCGUGGGGAGCAAACAGG